rnacentral:rRNA from 1 species
UACGUAGGGGGCGAGCGUUGUCCGGAUUUAUUGGGCGUAAAGAGCGCGUAGGUGGUUUGUAAAGUCGGAUGUGAAAGUCCAGGGCUUAACCCUGGGAUGCCAUUCGAUACUUGCAAACUAGAGCAUGGUAGGGGGAUCUGGAAUUCCUGGUGUAGCGGUGAAAUGCGCAGAUAUCAGGAGGAACACCGGUGGCGAAGGCGGGAUCCUGGGCCAUUGCUGACACUGAGGCGCGAAAGCUGGGGGAGCAAACAGGAUUAGAAACCCCCGUAGUCC